rnacentral:tRNA from 1 species
GGGGUUGUGGCUCAGUGGUAGAGCACUUGCCUCACACAUGCAAGACCCUGGGUUUGAUCCUCAGCAACACAU